AUUCCUAUAAAUUCUAUAAUUUUUUACCAUAAAAAAAAAAAAAAAAAAACCGUAAUUCAUAAUUAAUAAAACUAAUUAAAUUUUUGCAUCAAAAAUACCAAAAACUCUGUGUGACCAGCUAAACCUAACUUUCUUGAAAGUGAAUUUGAGAAGGUAUGUGUAAUAUAAAUUGCCGGAAAAAAAUAACAUAGAAGUACCUAUGAUAAAGGAAAAAAUUCUUUACCAAUAAUUUUUUUCUUGCUCAAUCAACUGUCGAUAUUUAAAGUGUUGGCUGAUUUCAUUAUUAAAAAUAAUCUAUUUGAUACACUAAGUUUUGGGGGAAAGAAUAGCUUCAUUUAAAUAAAAUAUACAUAUUAUUCUAUAGAUAUUGCACUGAAAAAAUAGAAACGUCCAAGUAGAUGGUUUUCAAGUUAUUUUACUAUUCUAAAAAUAAUUUAAAGCUGUAUAUGAAACAGCUCUAUUUAUUGUUCAAAUUCAAAAUCGUAAUAGUUUUUACUAAUACCUACAUUUCGUAAAUUUUCCCAUUUAUUGGUUAAACUCUUGGGAAAAUCAAAAAAUGACUUCUCUAAAGUAGGUACCACCCCAGAAAAAUUCCUUUGUAGAAAAAGUGCUAUACAAGAUACUUGAUACUUAGGAGCAAGAUUUCUGGUAGAAUUUGUAUAUAUAGUAUAAAAAGAAUAAAUAAAUAAAUAAAUAUCUUUAUAAAACCAAUAUAUUUUUUGUUACACUC